rnacentral:rRNA from 1 species
UCAUUAGUACAUGCCUAUAGAAUUAAUGCAUUGAAUAUCAUUAAAAAUAUGUAGUUAAGCCUGUUUAGGCUAAAGUAGUACUGAGAGGAGUGACCUCCUAAGAAGUCUUAGUGUUUUACAUGC